GGAGAAGGUGACUGAGCUUCUGGCGAAGAAGGAGACAGGGAAGAAGGUGGCUGAGCUUCUGGAGAAAAAGAAGACUGGGAAGAAGGUGACUGGGCUUUUGGAGGAGAAGAAAUCUGGAAAGAAGGUGGUUGAGCUUCAAGAAGAGAAAAAGACUCGGAAGAAGGCGACCGAGUUUCAGGAAGAGAAGAAGACUGGGAAGAAGACGAUG
rnacentral:lncRNA from 1 species